rnacentral:rRNA from 1 species
UGGGGAAUCUUGCACAAUGGGCGAAAGCCUGAUGCAGCAACGCCGCGUGCGGGAAGACAGCCCUAGGGUUGUAAACCGCUUUCAGCAGGGAAGAAACUGACGGUACCUGCAGAAGAAGAUGCGGCCAACUACGUGCCAGCAGCCGCGGUGACACGUAGGCAUCAAGCGUUAUCCGGAUUUAUUGGGCGUAAAGAGCUCGUAGGCGGUUCGGUAAGUCGGGUGUGAAAACUCUGGGCUCAACCCAGAGAGGCCACUCGAUACUGCUGUGACUAGAGUGCGGUAGGGGAGCGGGGAAUUCCUGGUGUAGCGGUGAAAUGCGCAGAUAUCAGGAGGAACACCAGUGGCGAAGGCGCCGCUCUGGGCCGUAACUGACGCUGAGGAGCGAAAGCAUGGGUAGCAAACAGGAUUAGAUACCCUGGUAGUCCAUGCCGUAAAACGUUGGGCACUAGGUGUGGGUCUCAACCGAACGAGAUCCGCGCCGUACGCUAACGCAUUAAGUGCCCGCCUGGGAGUACGGUCGCAAGAACU